rnacentral:lncRNA from 1 species
GUUUCUGUUUUCUUCUCCUCCUCCUCCUCAUUUCUUCUAGGGAGAAAAAGCUUCAGGAGGAACUUUCCACUACCAGUGUUUGUCUGAGGAGAGAGAUUGGUGGACGCGAAACCCUUCCUCCUCCCUCUUCUGGAGACCUUGCAUCAUCUACCAAUGAAGGAAGAAUGCAAAUUGGUUGGAGAGCCAAUUAGGACCACUCAACAGAAUCUAUAGGCUCGCCAUUCAUCUCACCUUGGAGAUUUUAGAUCUCUUCAAUGCAGGAGUUGUGUUUGAUUUGCACUGUGUUGUUAUGGGAUCACAGAGAAGUUGUUGACCUCUGGAGACUCAUGACCUUGACGUUCUGGCUGGCUGGAGAACAGAGCUGGCUGUGUCCGAGGAUGAGCUCACCACAGCUCCGGGAGAGCGUGUAACUGUCCGUUCCAUCGCCACGGAGUGACGGACGGGACCAACACCACUGACACGGCUAAGAAGGCCAGAGGAAGAGAACACAAGACGGGCAUCCAGAAAGACCUGUAUCUGUUUUUGUGCUUUUCUGUGGGCUGCAAUAAUAAGGCUCUAUGGGCUAACAGAAGGAUCUGGCCAUGCCUGUUGCCAUUCGUAAUAGAAGCUGGGAGGAUCACGUGACUUCACCACGAACAGGAUUACAGUACAGCUAUGAUGACUUAGACUUGGUUUGCUGCCAUGCAAGGCACCGGCGAGGUAGAUGCGCCUCCAUGCCAGAAUGUGGCCAUCAUCAUCUUUACCCUCAGGAUGAUAUUGGAAAUGGUACAAAAAAGAUGGAGAGGAUAUUGCAAAAGUUUAAGAAUGAGACUCAACCUAACUGUGAAGAUGUAAAGAGCCAAUUGUUGACAUCUAGAGAUGCUGUCAAUGAAAAGGCACAGCUUGAGAGUGAGCAAGAUAACAGACUACUUUCAAACAACGUGGCAGAUCAAGAUGAAUUACAGCAUUCUGCUUUGGGAAAUUUGCAAACUCACAAUGGAGAUGCAGAUAAUAAGAAGCUAAACAAGGAUAAAGUGUCUUCAGCCAUUAGCUUGUCACAUCUUGUGCCUUCUGCUGAAGCGUUGGAUCAAACAAAUGGUUUAGGAAAUGUUUUGAAGGAUGGCAUCUCCUUAAACAACACAGUCAAAGAAGACUGCUCUGAGCUAACUCAUCCCAAAGAAGAAACAUCUGUGGAAAACACAGAAUCUAUGGUGAAGGUCAAUGUGGGCAGUGAGAAGUUAGUAUAUGAACACAUGAAUGUGACAAGCAGCAUCACAGAAAUAACUAAUAAACCUCCCACUUCUGAUUCAUCUGCUGACCCGUGUGAUAAUGAGGAAGGACAUUGUUGUGAAACAUCUGAACAGGCAAUUUUAAAAUGUAUUAAAACUGAACGCUCAAGCAAACCUAUGUCAUCAUCAUCAACUUCUCAAGAAGAUCAUCACAUUCCCCACACAGAAGAUGCUAAUAAAGCAAAUCUAGCAUGCAAAGAUUGCAAUAUGACUCCAGAAGAAAAUGGAGAUGGUAUUUUUAAGUGUGCUGAUGGUGAUACGUUAAACGUUGGAUGCAUUAACCCACAUGCUUGUGAAAGUUCUCAACUGAAAGAAUGUGGAGUAAUAGACAUCAUGGAUACAUGGCAUGACUGCUCGUCCAAACUCCAAACCAUCCAUGAGGGGUCGUGUCCUGAAUCUGGAGAUGAUUCUUCUGCUCAGAUAUCAGGUGAUGGGCCAGAGGAACCAACAUGCAGAGGAUUAAACACAAGGAACUGUGAAAAUCUGACAGCCUCAGAGGAUCUCAGAGAACCUCAACCUGAAGGAAUCUAUGAGGAUCAUCAGGCGACUCAAAACACUGCAGCCAAGGACUGUGAGAUGGUCCCCAAAGCUGAUGGUAGCAUUGUCAAGCUUCGCACAAGAAAGAGCUCACAUGAAGAGAGGGAGAAGGAGAGGUCCCGGCUGGACUCAAUGGUUCUACUAAUAAUGAAGCUGGAUCAGCUGGACAAAGAGAUUGAAAAUGCUCUAAGCUCCUCCCUAAAUAGCACACCCAAUUUAAAGAGGCGGAUCAUUUCUGAUGUUGACUUAGAAACUCUGGAUUCAGCCGGAAGUCUUUCAGCCUCCUCACAGUCUCUAAACACCCCACUUUAUCGCUCUUCUUCAUCGUUGUCUUCAUCAGGACCCACCGGAACCCCUGGAGCAAGACCAAAAAAUGAGGUCAGUUAACAAGCAAUCAUCCAUCCCUUCCCUUUCCAUCCGUCCAAAACUGCUUACACAAAAUAUUAAUCGUCCACCAACCACAAUCACAUAAGCUGAUGAGUUUUUUACCUUCACAUGACCAAAGACUAUAGAAUACACAAGUCAUGUCACUUUGAAUGCUUUGAAUGUAGAAAAGUGUAAUGGUCAGUAUGGCAAAUAAAACCCCGCCUUCUAGUAUAGGAGCCAAUCAUUGAUCGGUAUAGACUGUUGAUUGUCUGGAGGAAGGGCUCAGACCAGACCAGUGUGUUUUUAUGAGUUUUUACAGACUUUUGGUGAUUCGAACAUUUAGAAAUAGCACUAAAGAGAGUUGUUGUUUAAUUUUAUUGUUGAUUCCUAUUAUGAAAUUUUAUCGCAUCCAUUGCAAGCAAUUUUGGUGAAUUUGAUGUUUCCCAAUUUAGACAGAAUGCCCGAGCAUACUGCCUAAAAGGCUUUUGAUGAUGGCAGGCAAGUGAAAUUACUUGUUUCAAAGGGACUUUGGCGUAGCAUUCAUACUUUCUCGUGGCUCUGGAAUGGACUAACCCUGCUGUCAGUUAUAUUUUAGCACUUUUUGAAGAGGCCACUAUAAUGUCCAACAUUUAGCCAUGCUUUUCUGUAUGCUGAAUGGCAAUGUAAACUGCAAAUUAAAGUGCAUUGUGGUUCCAGCAGCCACUGUAAAGACACUCUCGCUCUCUCUCUUCUUUCUUUCUCUCGACCUCUCUCAUUUUCUUUUUCUCUGAGUGGCUGAAGCUGCAGGAACAUGAUAAUAACAGCCUUUACUGUCUGCCAGCUUCCACUACAGUAAAACACUCAGAGAAGCUUUCCGUAUGAUCUCAUGCGCAUGUCUGGAUGUCUGCAGUUUCUGUGCGUGUUUGUGUUCUGUGGCGAGCUGAAAGACUAUUCCAUUUGAUUACACAUUACAUGCUUGACUCCACAUUUCAGAAUCACAUGGCAAACAACACUUUAGGUGUCUGUGAGAGAAUUGCUGUUAAAAACAAUUGUUGCCUUUUGGAGAAUUUUUACAUAAAAUGGCAAAAAAAUUGCCAUGCUUUGUGACAUUUCAGCAUACUGUAUAUACAUUUUUAGAAAACAACAGAAUAUUAAAGUUGUAACUCUAUAAUAGUUAAAACAUUAACAUUAUUUAAAUGACUUUUAAUUUAUAUCACAACAUAGUUGAAGCAUUUUUUUUUCUGUCCAAUUGUCAGUUUCCAAGGGAGAAAAAUGGCAUUUUUUAUUUAAGCUUUAUGGAAUAAAGAAAAUAUUAAGUAUUUCAAUAUUAGCACUGACAUACUUAUUCAAACACACACCUCAAACCAUCAGAAAAAAACAGAUUUUUAAUAUGGUCUCUUAUUUGUA